CCACAACAACCUCAGUCUGGCUUGAGCGGUGAGGGAGGGAGGGUGUGACGCUCUGACUCGGAUUGCUAUGUGAAGUUCAAGUGAUAACAGGCUAAUAAUGGCGACCAGCUCACUCUGCAACAGCCUCCUUAAAUGGCUGGAGACGUUUCCGGGGAGACAAGGAACCCGGAUCUCGGAUUUAACGGAUGGGGUGUUGAUGGCGAACGUUCUGCACCAAAUCGCGCCGGAGUACUUUUCCGACUACUGGUUAACGAGGAUAAAAACAGACGUGGGAGACAACUGGAGACUGAAGGUGUCCAAUCUCCGCAAGGUGCAACAGGGCGUGGUGGACUACUACCAGGAACAGCUGAACCAGAGCAUACGACACUUCCCCCUUCCCGACCUCAACAAGAUAGGUGAACAUGGGGAUGCCGUGGAGAUGGGUCGGAUGCUGCAGCUCCUCCUUGGAUGUGCCGUCAACUGCGAGAACAAGCAGCAAUACAUCGAGGAGAUCAUGAACAUGGAAGAGCGUGUUCAAAAGGUCAUCAUGGAAGCAAUACAGGAACUCAUGCUCAGAGAGGGCUCACCGGGGGCCUUCGGAGGGGACGCGGAGGGCCGAGGUGAGGCGCUGGGGCUCUCGGGUCUAGGGGGUCCAGCGUCCUUCCACCCGCACCUCAAGACCAUCCUGGAGCAAUUGGAGGCGGCCACGCAGGGGAAGGAAGAGGCGAUUCAGACUUGUCAUGAACUUGAGCAACAGAUCUCCGUGCUGAAGGAGGAGAAGGUGUCACUGGCCAGCGAGAACGAGAGGCUGGUGGGCCGUCUGGAGGCAUGGGAGGCCGGGGCAGACCUGGGCGCCGGUUCAUCGUCCACGCUACGAUACAAGGACCUCCGGAAGCAGAUUGAAGGCCUCCAGGACGAGCUCUUCAAACUGGAAACAUCGAGGGAUGAGUACCGCUCCCGUGCCGAGGUCCUGGGGCGUGAGAACCAGGAGGUGCAGGCCAAGAACGAGGAACUGCAGCAGCUGGCGGACCAGGCGCGCUCCCUUAAGGACGAGGUCGACGUGCUACGGGAGAUGAGCGAGCGGGCCGUCGUGUACGAGGGGACCGUCGAAACUUACAAGAAGAAACUGGAGGAGCUGAGCGACCUCAAGCGACAGAUGCGGAUACUGGAGGAGAAGAAUUCUGACUACAUGCAGCACAAUAUGGAGCUGGAGGAGGAGCUGAAGAAGAGUGGCACGUGGCGGCCCCAGCUGGACAUGUACAAGAAGCAGGUUGCCGAGCUGCACCAGAAGCUUGCCGAGGAGGCCAAGAAGACCGACCGUCAGAUCUUCGAGAACAAGAAGCUGGCAGAGAAGAUGGAGGCGCUGGUGCAGGAGAGAGACCGUCUGGCCAAGGAGCGAGAUGGGCUGAAGGAAACCAUCGAGGAGCUGAAGUGUCACAUCUCCACCAUCACCUCCCCCGACACAGCCUCCAGGCCGCCCUCAGACCUCUCGGACGUGGAGCUGCUGGAUGCUGUGCCACAUGAGUUCAGGGAGCGUCUGAUGCGGCUGCAGUAUGAAAACAGUGUGCUCAAGAAGGCAGCAGAGGGCGGCAGCAGUGAGCAGCUCCCAAUGCUGCAGACCCUCGUGGCUGACUUGCAGGAGCGCCAGAACUCCCUCACUCUGGAGAACAGACAGCUGAACACCAGGAUCAUGGAGCUGGAGAGUGAGGUGGAGGAAGCGCGUGUGCCCUCCGUCCCCUCCACCGCCUCCGUCUCCGCCGCUGCACCGCCCACCCUCCAGGCCGGCAAGAUGGAUGAGGCGCGGAGGAUUGCCGAGCUGGAGCGGAAGCUGGUGGAACAGAGGGAGAAGGUGUCCGGGCUGGAGGAGUCGCUCACCAAGAAAGAGGGUGAAAUGGAGGCCAUGGAGGAACGCUACAAGAAAUACCUCGGGAAGGCCAAGUCCGUCAUCAAGACCCUGGACCCCAAGCACAACCCUGCCCUGGUGCCGGACGUCUCACACCUCCGCUCCGCCAUCCAGGAGAAGGAGCGCAUCAUUGAGAACAUGGAGCGUGAAACGGAAAAGAGCAAGAUGGUCAGGGACAUGGAGGAGAAGCUAAUCACCACUGCCUUCUACAACCUGGGUAUGCAGAUGCACCGCCAGAUGAUCAGUCAGCGGCUCUCCACGGUGGACCAGGGCGGCCACUCGUUCAUGGCCCGCCAGCGCCAGGCCUCCACGCGCCGCUCACAGAUGGGCAGCAACGUGGGCAACAGCUCCCGAACCUAAGAAAAGCACCACAACACAAACCAUGAAUUCACCACAACCACCAACAACAGCAGCAACAACAAAAACCGAGUUCUAUGAUUACUAGCCGCUGUGUGCCCGUGUCCGCCACCCUGCAUGACAAGCUCCGUCCAGCGGCCACUACGACGACAUGCGGAUCAGCUGACUCCCACCCGCGGCCGGCAGUGAGGGCGGACGCUGCUGCCGGUGUUGUUGUUAUUACCACUGUUGUUGUUGUUGCUCCCCCUCGAUGGCGGUGGGUUUGUACCUCGAGGCGGCCGUUUGUAUGUAGGGUGUAGGGGGUGGGGUGUGUACGUGGGUGUGGGUGUGGGUGUUCCAUUCUUUCGUCUUUCCAUUCUUAUGUCUAUGUCUGUUUUUCUUCUUCUAUCUAUCUAAUCUAUUUUUUUUUCAUUUCUUUCUUUCUUUCUUCGAUUCUUUUUUCUGUCUUUUUCUAUCUAUCUAAUCUAUUGUGUGUGUUGUUUUUUUAAUUUCUUUUUCCUUCUAUUUUUUUCUAUCUUUUUCUAUCUCUCUAAUCUAUUGUGUGUGUGUGUUUUAUUAAUUUCUUUCUUCCAUUCUAUUAUCUGUAUCUAUUUUUCUAUCUGUCUAUCUCUAUGUCUAUUUUUUUAUCUGUUUUCAUAUUUUUUCUUUAAUGGGUAAGCUCUCAUUUCCCUCUUCCUCCUCCUCCUUUUCCUCUGUCUCCUCCUUCUCCUCUUCUAAUGUGUGUGUGUGUGCGUGUGUGUGUCAGUGACUUUGUAAGGGGUUUAGUAAAGGUUUUAGCAGGAUUUUAUAUAUAUGGGAGGAUACAUGCGUGGGUUGACUUGAUAUUAAUUGACGUAGCUGUUAGGCGUUCAAGGAGAUGCUGAUGGAAAUUUUGAUAUGUCGUUAACUGCCGAGACUCAAAGGAAGACCAGAGCACGCAAGACUUUCAUACGCAAGAUUGCCGAGAAAUUUCACAUGGGAAACUUAUGAGAGAGUUUUGUAUAUGUAGGAUUCUCCAAAUAUCUCUCAUCCGCAAGACUUUCAUAUGCAAGAUUGCCGAGAAGUUUUACAUGGGAAGCUUAUGAGAGAGUUUUGUAUAUGUAAGAUUCUCCAAAUAUCUCUCAUCCGCAAGACUUUCAUAUGCAAGACUGCUGAAAAGUUUUACAUGGGAAGCUUAUGAGAGAGAGUUUUGUAUAUGUAAGAUUCUCCAAAUAUCUCUCAUCCGCAAGACUUUCAUACACAAGAUUGCCUAGAAGUUUUACAUGGGAAGCUUAUGAGAGAGUUUUGCAUAUGUAAGAUUCUCAAAAUAUCUCUCAUCCGUAAGAUCGUUUUGAAGUUUUACAUGGGAAGCUUAUGAGAGAGUUUUGCAUAUGUAAGAUUAUCCAGAUAGUAUUUUGCAUGGAAACUGAUGAAGGGGUGACGGAGCUGGAUCUUUAAGAAUUGCCCAAGUGUGAAAAAGGAAUUUUGAAACCAAGUUAAAAUGCAUUGGACCUGACAUGAAUAUUUUUAGAAACUUACGAAAGAAAGAAUUGCAUAUAGAAGGUGAUUUUAACUUGUCCGACAUGAAGUAGCUGCAUUUUUAGGGAGAAUUAUCGAAGAAUGUGUGAAUGAAGUUGAGUUUUAAUGUGAGAACCAAGUUAAAAUGUGUUAAAACUGACAUGAAUAUUUUUAGAAACCUGGAAAAGAAAGAAUUACAUAUGAAAGAUGAUUUUAAACUUGUCCGUGAUGAAUGAGAAGCAUUUUUAGGGAGAAAUGUUUGAGUUUUAAUGUGAGAACCAAGUUAAAAUGUGUUAAAACUGACAUGCAUAUUUUUUUAUCAACCUGGAAAAGAAAGAAUUACAUAUGGAAGAUGAUUUUAAACUUUUCCGUGAUGGAGAAGCAUUAUUAGGGAGAAAUAUUUGAGUUUUAAUGUGAGAACCAAGUUAAAAUGUGUUAAAACUGAUAUAAAUAUUUAAAAAAAACCUGGAAAAGAAAGAAUUAAAUAUGGAAGGUGAUUUAAAACUUGUCCGUGAUGAAGGAGAAGCAUUUUUAGGGAGAAAUAUUUGAGUUUUAAUGUGAGAACCAAGUUGAAAUGUGUUAAAAUUGACAUAAAUAUUUUUAAAACCUGGGAAAGGAAGAAUUACAUAUGAAAGAUGAUUUUAAACUUGUCCGUGAUGAAUGAGAAACAUUUUUAGGGAGAAAUAUUUGAGUUUUAAUGUGAGAACCAAGUUAAAAUGCGUUACAACUAACACAAAUAUUUUUUAUAGACCUAGAAAAGAAAGAAUGCAUAAAAGAUGAUUAUAACCUUGUCCGUCAUGAAGGAGUUGUAAUUUUUAGGGAGAACUGUCCAAGAACAUGUGAAUAAAUUUUUGAAUAAGUUAAAAUGCAUUACAACUGACACAAAUAUUUUUUUAUAGACCUGGAAAAGAAAGAACACAUAUAAAAGAUGAUUCUAACCUUGUCCGUCAUGAAGGAGUCGUAUUUUUUAAUUUUUUUAUUUAUUUAUCUUUUUUUUUACAGCAGAUGAGUCCAUUCAAGGGCAUAAGAAAAGGUAACAAAUGUGAAAAAAAAAAGCCCGCCACUCAAAUGUUUUUACGGAGAAGUGUCCAACAUGUGAACAGAGUCGAGUUUUUAACGUAGGAAGUGCAAUAAUGAGGAUAGGAUAAUAUUCUCACCCCGGCAACCAUUUCAAACAUUUCUUAACUAAGGGAAGGAAAAUGAAGAGCUGAAAACAGGUGCAUAUAAAAAAACGUGCAAUAAUGAAGAUAGGAAAAUAUAUUGUAACCCUCGGCUUGUGAUGUAGGUGGAAAAGUUAAGGGAAUUUUAAAACACAGCCCUAGAAUGACAAAGGCAACUACAGUUCAGUCGUCCCUCAAAUAGUACGGUUUCCAAUAGUUAGGUUUCGUUUUUCUCACGGAUUGUCAAGGAAGAUCUUUUUAGGAUUUUUAAGUUUCCUGCUCGUAGGGAAAUUCAAAAACCCUAAAAAAAUCUUCUGUGAAAAUCCACAUAAAACCGAAACCGAAUCAUUGGAAACUGUACUAUUUGAGGGACGGCUGUAUAGACCAAAAUCUGUCUGGAAACUGUAAAUUGACUUGGGGAGUUUGUUUACGAAGGUAGUGAACUAAGUGAGAGCUGUUUUUAGUAUGGAAUGUUUGAGAAUAUUUUAUGCCUCAAGAACCACUUUUGUAUCUUGUUUUGUAAGCUCGAAUACCGUGGAAAUGAAGGUCUGCAACGAUAUGAAAAAAGUGUUGUACGUAGUUUUAAAAUGAACGCAUGUUGUAGAUGGUUGCAAGUGCCCAUUCUGGAGGUAACUGAGAAUCGCAUUUGUACCUCAUUUUGUAAGCUUGCCCACAGUGGAAGCGAAGGCAAGGCAUCAAUAAAAGUGCAGUAGUUUUAAAAUGAACACACAUUGUAGAUUGUUGCAAAUACUACCCAUUUUGGAGGUUAACUGAGAAUCGCAUUUGUACCUCAUUUUGUAAGCUCGCCCACAGUGGAAGCGAAGGCAAGGCAUCAAUAUAAAAAAGUGCAGUAGUUUUAAAAUGAACACACAUUGUAGAUCAUUGCAAAUACUACCCAUUUUGGAGGUUAACUGAGAAUCGCAUUUGUACCUCAUUUUGUAAGCUCGCCCACAGUGGAAGCGAAGGCAAGGCAUCAAUAAAAGUGCAGUAGUUUUAAAAUGAACACACAUUGUAGAUCGUUGCAAAUACUACCCAUUUUGGAGGUUAACUGAGAAUCGCAUUUGUACCUCAUUUUGUAAGCUCGCCCACAGUGGAAACGAAGGCAAGGCAUCAAUAUAAAAAAGUACAGUAGUGUUAAGAUGAAUUCACGUUGUAGUCGCUAGUACCAUUCUGCAGGUAAACUUUUCUUAAUCCCAUACAAGUGCAGACAGAAGUAUUGAUCCACCUUACUCUAAGCUCGAACUCUGCCCUCCCUCCACAUGGCAGGCCACGUGGUGAGGAAAGGUGGAGCGUACAGAAGGAAGAGGGAAGGGAGGGAUGAUCUUGUAGGAGGUAGACAAAAUUUAGGAUACAGAGAAGGUGAGGGAGAGGAAAAUGAGGGAUGAAAGGGUGAGUGAGAGAUUAGCAAGUAAGAGAGAGAAGAAAAAAAUGGAAGAGUGGAAUGUGAGGAAGGAAAAGGAAAAUGGGAGAUGGAAGUAAGGAAGGAGAAAGAAAGAGGAAGGAAGAGAGAAAUGAGACAAAAAUAUGGAAGUGUAGAGUGGGAAAGAAAGGAAGAUUCGGAAAGGAGAUUAGACAUUCAGAAAGAAGAAACGGUAGAUGAAAUUUGGCAUAGAGAAAACAAAGAAAACUGAAAGUGUUGAGUGUGAGGAAGGAAGAGAGAAAUGAGAUACAAAACUAGACAUUCAGAAAAGACAAAAGUGUGGAAUGAGAAAGAAAGGAAGCAUAGGACAGGAGACUAGACAUUCAGAAGGAAGAAACGGUAGACGAGAUUUGGCAUGCAGGAAAGAGAUGCCGUUUCAGAUCGCUGAGUUAGGUGGAGUAGUGAUAACAUUUCUAUCUGCACUUGUACUCGAUCACGGUGAUGGUGGUGGCGGGGACAGACACAAUAUAAAUAAAGCACACUUCCUGCACAACUCACGGGGAAAAAUAUAUCAGAAAACGCAGCAAAAAAAAUGAUAGUUGAUAAUUAAGUAUGAUUAGACGUAACCUCUUUUUUUGCAUUUUUUUUUAAUUGUUUGUUUUUAGUCGUAAUCGCUUAGCCGUGUCUCAAAAAACCUGCACAAAGGGAUUUUAUGGUUCGUGAAUGAGUGUGUGAAAGUUGUGACUUGUUGAAGGGGAAAGGUAAAGUUUAUAAUAGGAAAAAAUAAAAAAAAGUUGUGAUCUGUGAGGGAAAAAGUAGAGUUUGUAAUGGGAAAAAAGUAAAUAGUUGUGAUAUGUGAGGGAAAAGGUAGAGUUUGUUAGAGGAAAAAAAUGUGUAAAGUUGUGAUUUGUUGAAGGGAAAAAGUAGAGUGUAAUAGGAAAAAUAUCAAAAAAGUUAUGAUCUGUGAGGGAAAAAGUGGAGUUUGUAAUAGGAAAAAAUAUAAAAAAGUUGUGAUCUGUGAGGGAAAAAGUAAAGUUUGUUAGAGGAAAAAAAUGUGAAAAGUUGUGAUUUGUGAGGGAAAGUUAAAGUUUGUAAUAGGAAAAAAUGUAAAAAAGUUGUGAUUUGUGAUGAAAAAAUAGUUUGUGAUAUGAAAAAAAUGUAAAAAGUUUUGAUUAUUGAAGGGAAAAGUAAAGUUUGUUAGAGGAAAAAAUAUAAAAAGUUGUGAUUUGUGUGGAAAGGUAGAAUUUGUAAUAGGAAAAAAGUAAAUAGUUGUGAUUUGUGAGGGAAAAAGUAGAGUUUGUUAGAGGAAAAAAAUGUUAAAAGUUGUGAUUUGUUGAAAGGAAGAAGUAAAGUUUGUAAUAGGAAAAAAGUAAAUAGUUGUGAUUUGUGAGAGAAAAAGUAGAGUUUGUAGUAAUAGGAAAAAAAUAAAAAGUUGUGAUUUGUGACGGAAAAAGUAAAGUUUGUUAGAGGAAAAAAAUGUGAAAAGUUGUGAUUUGUGACAGAAGAAGAUUAAGAUUAAGAUUAAGAAGAUUAAGAGGAAAUGGAAAAGGAUUAUGUGUUUUAGAAGAUGAUUAAGAGGUUUACAGGUGGUUUGCAAGGAGGAGGAAGAGCAUCAAGAGAUUUAGAAGAGGAUUAAGAAGAAAGGGAGGAGGAUUAAGAGAAAAGUUUGUAAUCGGAGAAAAUGUAAAAAGUUGUGAUUGUUGAAGGGAAGAAGUAAAAGUUUCCAAGUGGAAAAGAACGUAAAGAUGGAAAGUCGAGUUGAGCGAAUAUUUUUUUACGGGAAAGAAACGGACUCAAGGGCAAACAAACAAACAAACACAGAGGCCCAGAAAAUAAAAUAAUCCCCCCAAAAACAAAUAAAUAAACAAACUCAAGGGCAGAAAAACAACCAAAAAAAAAGCCUUGAAAACAAAGUCCCCCAAAAAACUAAAGAAUGCCUAAAAAAAAUAAAAAAAAAGCAUAAUAGUUUGAGCGUAAAGCCUAGAUUUGUAAAAGAUAACAUGGGGUUUGAAUACACACACAAGAAAAAGAAGAAACACACAAAAAAAGAAGGUUUGGAAGAUUAGUUUUAAGUGAACGGUCAAGUUGUUAAUUGUUUCAUCUGGUAACAUUUGAACAUACAGUCGUCCCUCAAAUAGUACAGUCUCCAAUAGUUCAGUUUCGGUUUUAUACGGAUUGUCGUAGAAGAUCUUUUAGGAUUUUUAAAUUUCCUGCUUGUCGGGAAAUUCAAAAACUCUUAAAAAUAUCUUCUACGAAAAUCUACGUAAAACCAAAACCGAACUAUUGGAAACCGUACUAUUUGAGGGAUGACUUUACUCUGAAUCAGUCUCGCAUGUGUUUUUAUAGAAUGAUGAAUAAGUGCAAUAAUGAAGAGCAGGAAGGUGUUUUUUCUUGACUCCGCAACCAUUUCAAAUAUCUCAAAACAUACUGAAAUUUGGAGGAAAUAUAAAGUUUGUAUGUAAAGUCUUGAGUUAAUAUAAAGCGAUGUUAAUGUUACACUCAAGCACGACUGAUCUUGCUUAUGCCACACAGAUGUACAAGUGGAAGUCUUCAUUUGUGAGGAGGAAACGUGAAGUUAGCAAGGAAAAAUUUAGCGUGUGUGAAGUUGAGAGAACAGUUCAGUUUGAAUGUAAAGUUUAGGGUAAUUUGAGCACUCCCAGAAUCAGCCUGUCGUGUGUUUUUAUCCCAAAGAAACUAAACUAAAUGGUGGUUCGUGGCGCACUAAACCCAGAGCCAGAGAAGAGGAGAGUGGCCAGCUUCAUCACGGACGCCUUGUUGUUGUCAAAAGAGUUGCUUGAAAAAGGGGAAAAAAAAAAGAAAAAAAAAACACUGGUAGAAGUUUUUAGCGAGAGUUUUAGAGGGAAAAAACAGUAACAACAACUACUACCACUACCAACAACAACAUACAACAUAAAAUACAAAUUGAUUCUGAUAAAGCCGUGUUUUUUGUGUUCUAGGUAUGGUUAAGGUCUCUUAUAAGUACCCAGAGAAUGAAAAACACUCGUAUCGGCAUCUAUUUCAAUUUCACGCAGGUCUUUUAGUGACAACAUGGGUCUGUGAAGGUGGGCAGACUCUCCUAUUUUGCGGCGCUGGCUCGAACCACCUCACAAGGGCCUUACAUAGGAUAUAAAGUAGGUAGGAUACAUUCAUCGGUUUGUAUGUGUCAUCCUAGCCAGUGCACCUUAAAAAUAUAGCUAGGAAAAUUGAGGUGAGGUAUAAGUUUUGUGUUAUUCUAGCUUAAAACUAAAUGGAAUGGGUAUGAGUUUGUGUUAUGUAUAUUAGCGUAACACUGUGUUAAGUGACUGUAAGUUUGUGUUGAGGAAGACGUGAGAAGGAUGAACGCCAGGGAGGAGAGAGAGUGGGAGAGACUCAUAGCCUGUCCAACCCCAUAAAGGAAGAUAAGGACAUUAAGCAAAAAGAAAAAGAAAAUAAGUGAAUAUAUAAGUUUGUGUUGAGGAAGACAUGAGAAGGAUGAACGCCAGGGAGGAGAGAGAGUAUGAUUUUUUAAGAGUGGGAGAGACUCAUAGCCUGUCCAACCCCAUGAAGGAAGAUAAGGACAUUAAGCGAAAAGAAGAAGAAAAUAAGUGAAUAUGUAAGAUCGUGUUGAUGAUAUGAGAAGAAUGAACACCAGGGAGGAGAGAGAGUAUGAUCAUCAAGAUUGGGAGAGACUCAUAGCCUGUCCGACCCCAUAAAGGAAAAUUAGGAUGUUAAGCUAAAAGAAGAAGAAAAGAAGUGAACAUGUAAGCUUGUGUUAUAUUAGCUGAAAAGUAAAUUCAUAUGCCUGUUUUAUGUUAUUUUACCAGGAAACUAAAUUGAGUGACGUUAGAGGUUUGUGUUAUUUUAGCGUUAAACUAAGACGAAUGGGUAUAAGUUUAGUUUAGUCUGCGGUAAUUUUAUUUGUGGAGAUUUUGAGCUGUACGGGUGUGUUUACAGAGGGAGGCUAAAUCAUGGUUCGUUGGGCGGUCGUGAAAUUUUUCCAUGAAGAGUGUUUUGUUUUAACCCGGUAGCUGCGGGGAUCAUGUUUCUUAAAGGUCCUUCUAAGCGAAUUAAUGAGAAAAAAUUAUCACUCACGCAUAUCACUAAAUAACAGAUAUCAAUGCAUUUGUGAUCAGUGUAUGCAUCCUCUAUUUUUUUGGGUUAUGUCAAGGCAAUAAUGAGGCUUGUCGCUGGUACGCGGUAAAGCCACAAAUUUGGCCCGUCGCUGCUGCCGGGUUAAGAAUGUGAUUGCUAUGUGAACCCGAGCUGGUAAUACUGGUGUCCCGUAGGGUGUGUUAUAAGCAUAAUAAGCCAGGGUUCAUUACUAUCACUAAACAAACCAAAGCGUCAACACAUUUCUUAUUUAUAGUUUUUGGUAUAAUAUUUUAACCCGGUAGCAGCGGGGAUCAUGUUUCUUAACGGUCCCUCUAAGCGAGAAAAUUGAGAAAAAAUCACCCCUCACACAAACCAUUUCAUAAUACAUAUCAAAGCAUUUCUGAUCAGUUUAUGUAUCAUCUAUUUUUUGGGGUUUAUAUCAUGGCACAAAUUUGGCCCAUCGCUGCUACAUGGUAAAGCCACAAAUUUGGCCCGUCGUUGCUACACGGUAAAGCCACAAAUUUGGCCCGUCGCUGCUACCGGGUUGAGGGUAAAUUCACUAACUUGCCAUUUUUUAACACAAGUAUUGCCUGAAACUUUUGGAGCUGUUCUUUUAAAGUAUUGUGAUGGUUUUAAACACUGACUUGCUAAUAUUUUAAUCUACAUUUUUAGUUUUGUUUUAAUACCAUGUACUUGGACGGGUGCAACAAGCAGGUGUACUCAUCAAUAAAAUGUUGCUUUUC